UCGUCUCUCUGUGGCUCCUAGGACGUCACUCGGCCUCUGUCCCCCUGAUGAUCCCCCUGCCAGCGCUCCAGCGCGGGGCCGGAGACCCCCUCUCUGGGUGGCAGAUAUCGCGGCUCGCGCCUGCUGCUUGCAAGUGAGAUCUAUUGUUACCACGGAGAAGAGAACCUCACUUGAAGAACUGCUCCUAUCACACUGGCCAGUGGCAAUGCCUGUGGGGUGCUUCCCUAAUGGCUAAUGGAUGCAGGAGGGCCCAGCCACCAUGGGCAGUGCCAUCCCCAGGUCCUGUUCCCGAUCCUUCCACGGCUCCUCUCGGUGAUGGAGAGCAAACUGCCAUGGAGCACACACAGGGAUGCACCUCCAAAAACCAAUCGCAACAACAUUGGAAAUACGAGAGGACAAAAACAAAAACGAAAACGAAAACACCCAAAACCAAACAAACGAAGCUGACUGGGGGAACCCAGUCUUGGAACAAAUAAACUCAAGACUGACUUCAGCCAUCCUCCCAGUCCCUUCCUGCCUUCUCAGGCACCUCCACUCCUUUACAGCCUUUGGUGUUGCUACUGCUAGAGCACCGUGCUCAGUCAUCAGUGAAGAAGGUGCUGUUCAUACCAGUGGGAAGCAGAAGCAAGAGUACUCGGAUGGCACUGAGUGGCGUGGCCAUAGCACUGCGCAAUUCUGCAUCACACAAGCGGAAACGGACGCCCCUUCAAACCUCUUUCAUUUGGAGAAAGUUGUGGUUUAGUACUGUGUCUCCUCUAGGCCCGACACCUGCAAACAUCUAUCCUUUUAUUUAUUUUUCACGUGUCUGUGUCUGGUGGGCACAGGGACAGAAGCCACUCCAGCUGCCCUGAAUGUGGCCAUGCCUUUUCCACCACGAUGACCCAAGUCCCUUAAAAAAGGAGCCCAAAGAAAUCCUUCCUUCCUGAAGUGUCCUCUGGUCACAAGGACAAGAAAAGCAAGAAACACGGGUGAUAUGGACAUUUCCAGAAUGGAAAAGUUACUGAGCGUAUACACAUACUCAGCAUCUGGGAAACAUCUCUCAAGAGUAAAGUCUUUCGCUCACCAAGAUCCCUCAUCAAGUACUAUCUUGUGAAAACAUCAGGCACUGCUGGGCCACUGACGAGGCCAAGCAAUCCAGCUUAAAGACUUGCCUCUGUGGAGACAGAAGACCCUUCCCUCCUCUCUGUACUUGCACUGCUGCGGAGAAGCACGCUUUCGUACUGCAACUCCAGCUUUUGAAAAAGAUUAAGGCGUGCACUCUGACUCUUAUAUGGAAGUCCUCACGCACGAGAGCGCCUGGCUUAUCUACGCUAGGUCCACUCCGAGUCACAUCGAGAGAUAAACUCACUUUAGCUACGUUUCCAAUCUGCAAACAUAAAUCCCAGAAGGUGGGAGGCCCAUGAAGAAUGGCCCCAGCUGACAGAGCGUCAGUUCAAGCCAGUGGAGGAGGACUGGCCUGUGGACCCCACUCGUUUGUCCAUCGAGAAAGUGUCUUCAUUAUCCAGGAGUGUUCAUCAGGCCAGGCUGCCUGCUGAGGACACAGCAUGAGGCAGGAACCUGCCUGGGCUCUGAGGAGCCUGACAAUUAAACACAGGACAGGCUGGUGAUAAGAGUGAUCCCAUAACCAUGGUGACAGUCACGAGUGACAGGCACAUGGUGACAAGUGCCAUUUCCAUCUCUGUAGCAUAAAAAUACACUCGGCUUUAGAGGCAAUUGAUCAGGCUCAGGGCUACUGUGGCCUCCAUUCUAUAUUUGAGGAAACUGAGUCACAGAAAGAUUGAGUGACAUCACCAAGCUAACAGAGAGAACAAAUGUGGAAGCCUGAGUUCACUGGGCUGGGAGUGUAUCUGUUGUCAGAAUGCUUGUCUGCCACGUGGGUGGCCCUGGCUUCCAUCCCUAACACCAUAUAAAGCAGGUGGUGGCACAGGCUUGGAAUCCCAGCACUCAGGAGGUGGAGGCAGGCAGGUCACAGUUAUCCUGGGCCACGUAAGGCUAGCCUAGUCUUCCUGAGACCUUGUAUUAAAAAAAAAAAAAAAAUAGAAGCAGCCUGGAUUCAAACCCUCCUGGUGUGUGAGCUCUUGGGUCCCCACAAGCUUUUUGUCACCAAAAGCACUGUUUCUCUGUUGGUGUUCUCCAGCACAAGAGUUAUCCGAGGCCUUUGAACACACCCCCGGAAGCAAACCCAGGGCAAUUGUUUUGUUUAGUGCACCUGCGUUGGGGUCAGGAAACACCGAUCCCAGCUCCCUGGUGUCGCUGACCCUCCAGGUCAGAAGGAUGCACUUGGUAGUUUUGGGGUGAGGGCGCAUAAGGGAUGAAUUUAUUCCAUGGGUACACUUGGGGACUCUGGGGACCUGGGGCUGUCAUGCCUUCACAGGCCGCACUGAUGGUUUCUACUGGGCCACAUAGAGCCUGGCCUGCUCACAUGCCAGGGGGCUAAGGUGAGGGUGCCAGCACUGAGUUCCAGCCUGCCCAGCAGGAUGUGCACAAAAGACAGCAGGCUCCGCUUUGAGCUUGACCUGGUAGUUCAAGUAUUUAGCAGCAUCUGCUCAGGAAGCUGAGGCAGGGGGAUUGGAAGUUCAAGGCCUGUUUGGCCUACAGAUCAAGCUCUAGGCCUGAUGGAGCGAUUUAGUGGGACUCUGUCUCAAGAUAAAACGUGAAAAAUGGCUGGGGAGGCUGUUCGGUGGUAGUCGCUUGCCGAACACGUUGGAGGCACUGGGUUCAAUCCGCAGGACAGCGCUAACAUACUAAAAUACAAAACGACUGGAGAUUAAGUCAGACUGCAGACCGCCUGAGCGGCUGCACCUCUAGCAAGCUCUGAUAGUGGGUGCUGGCAGAACCGGGGACCCCCACAUUGGCUAAAAAAACCGCAAGGAUUCACCCUGCAUAGGUGGAGGUUCUGCACUAAGGCUCAGGACUCGGUGAGGCUGAGAAAUUAGCAGCCCUGGUUCAGAACUAAGCGUGUGAGUCCACUCUUCUUUCAACCCCCCCCCCCCAGCUCCUCUCUCCCUGACAGCUGCAGAGAAGCAGAGCCAGCAGAAGGUCUGACUCCCCCUAUGUUCUCAGCAGCAGCAGCAGCAGCAGCAGCAGCAGCAGCAGCAGCAGCAGCAGCAGCAGCAGCAGUCAGGGCCUGUUGAAAAUGAGGAAGGGCAGAGCUUCGGUAGGACUGCCCCAGUCCUUCAUCAGACCAGCCUAUUGUUGCCUGUCAUCGUGGCUUCCUCCCAAGAGCUUUUCCUUGAUGCUGGGUUUACAUCUGCCUGACGUGUAGGUCUGCAGACCCUAAAUGAAAGAGUAUCUGCUUUGGAAAGGGUUGCUCUCUUGGGAAAGGGCGACGGGAGAAAAUGGACUCCCCUGCGCUCGGCCCUCCAGAGAUGGCACCCAGCCCCUGUGAUAAAUGACAGCAUUAACAAGGCUUGGUUGAGAGGGGACCUGCAGAUUUACGACUUCCUGUGUCGGCCAGCAGAUGUCAUUAUGGCUGACAGAACAGGAGCCCUUUCAAGAGCUAGCUGGGGGCGGGGCUAAGGAGAGAAAAAUUUGAAAAAGGCAGAAGCCUAAACUACCGGUUCCAGGGGUGCUGCUGUCAUGGGGGAGGGGGGUGGAGGGGAGAGGACCCGAAUUUGAACAGGAAAUCAGAAAGCUUGCAGAAUCUCUGAACUAGUGUUGCUGAGGAUUAGGCACAGACCCUCAAAUAAAAGACAGCACGAUUGGCUUUCCUCAAGUAAGAAACCCUUUAGAGUUUUGUUGUCAGUCCGUGUGUAUGUGCAAACAUUCUCUGAGAUAAAAAUGAGCACUCUGUGCUGAGCAAACAGAUAUUUCACUCUGAGACAUCACUUGGACAAGCCUUUAAAUAUAUCCACUCUAUGAAUUCAGCAGCCCUUUCUGAGCAAACCUUAAGAUGCUUAUAAUUUUACCCAUUUAAUUUUAUUUUUAACAUUAUUUGUGUUGACUCUUUGUGAAUUUUAUAUCAUGCACUCACUCCACUCCCACUCAUUUUCCAGCCCUUCCAUAUCCUCCUGUUCCCCUUGUGACAUCAACAAAAUAAAUUAAAAUAAAACAAAAUAAAUAAUAAAAUAAAUAAUAAAAUAAAACAAAAAAAAUAAUAAAAUAAAACAAAUCUCUCUGUGGAAACUGGAGAGACAUAGCGUGUCACACACGAUACCCUUUUGCCCAAACAGCCUUACUUGCAAAUGUUUGUUGCAAGGAGUCAUUGGUCUGGUUUUGGGUCCUCUGGCUUCUGCUAGACCAUCAGCACUAUAUUUUUGCCAGGACUUCUCUAUAUCUUGUUGUUGCCCUUAUGUCAUGGAGAUCCUGCAGCUUUGGAUCCGCAGGACUGGCCCUUCACUUGCUCCCGCAGCGCAUAGAUGGGGUAGAUUCUGGGGUGGCUCAGCCCUGGAUCUGGGCUUGGAUGGUAGCCGAAUUGGUCAGCCUGUCAGCUCUCCAGGGCCCACACAACUGGUGCCAGUUCUGCCCCAACUCUCUCUGCCCAGGUGACAGAGGGGUGGGGCUGGCUCUCCUACACCCACAUCACAGUUGGUGCCACCACCAUGCAGGGACAGCUGAGGAGGUGAAUUCAGUGCAAACUCAUUUAUCAUCAUGGCCCCCAGCAGCAGCCAGGACCAUAGACAUCCAAAUGGCCAUUGGUGGUAAUAUGGGCCAUGGACAUUGACACAGACCCUUGCUGCAGCAGGGUCAUGAGCCCCGGUAUGGCCCUCGCUGGCCUCACAGGCCAGGCCAUCACGAUGGCCUCAGGUGGCACUGCAGGCCUCUCAUAUCAGGCUGUUCCUCUCCUCCUUCGGUUCUCCAGUUCCUCCUCUCUUCCCAGCACAUAAUCGUUUCCACUUCUCUUUUCUCUCCUCUCUACUCCGUACUUGCUCAUUGUAUCGACAACUGGCUGCCCUCUCACCUGUGCCUAGAGGUGGCAGUUGGGCCUCUAACUUUACCCAUGUUAAAUAAACAAUGAUUGUUAUAGGA